rnacentral:rRNA from 1 species
UGGGGAAUCUUGCGCAAUGGGCGAAGGCCUGACGCAGCAACGCCGCGUGCGGGAUGAAGGCUCUCGGGUUGUAAACCGCUUUCAGCAGGAACGAAAAUGACGGUACUUGCAGAAGAAGGUGCGGCCAACUAUGUGCCAGCAGCCGCGGUGAUACAUAGGCACCAAGCGUUGUCCGGAUUUAUUGGGCGUAAAGAGCUCGUAGGCGGUUCGGUAAGUCGGGUGUGAAAACUUUGGGCUCAACCCAAAGCCUGCAUCCGAUACUGCUGUGACUAGAGUUCGGUAGGGGAGCGGGGAAUUCCUAGUGUAGCGGUGAAAUGCGUAGAUAUCAAGAGGAACACCUGAGGUGAAGACGGGUUGCUGGGCUGACACUGACGCUGAGGCGCGAAAGCCAGGGGAGCAAACGGGGAUUAGAUACCCAAGUAGUCCCUGAGCGGGCUGGCAAGGCGCAU